CCUACGGCGGCAGCAGUGGGGAAUAUUGGACAAUGGGCGAAAGCCUGAUCCAGCCAUGCCGCGUGUGUGAAGAAGGCCUUCGGGUUGUAAAGCACUUUCAGUGGGGAAGAAAGCCUUGGGGCUAAUACCCUCGAGGAAGGACAUCACCCACAGAAGAAGCACCGGCUAACUCCGUGCCAGCAGCCGCGGUAAUACGGAGGGUGCGAGCGUUAAUCGGAAUUACUGGGCGUAAAGCGCGCGUAGGCGGUCUGAUAAGCCGGUUGUGAAAGCCCCGGGCUCAACCUGGGAACGGCAUCCGGAACUGUCAGGCUAGAGUGCAGGAGAGGAAGGUAGAAUUCCCGGUGUAGCGGUGAAAUGCGUAGAGAUCGGGAGGAAUACCAGUGGCGAAGGCGGCCUUCUGGACUGACACUGACGCUGAGGUGCGAAAGCGUGGGUAGCAAACAGGAUUAGAUACCCCUGUAGUC
rnacentral:rRNA from 1 species